rnacentral:rRNA from 1 species
CCGGCGCACGGGUGAGUAACACGUAUCCAACCUGCCGUCUACUCUUGGACAGCCUUCUGAAGGAAGAUUAAUACAAGAUGGCAUCAUGAGUCCGCAUGUUCACAUGAUUAAAGGUAUUCCGGUAGACGAUGGGGAUGCGUUCCAUUAGAUAGUAGGCGGGGUAACGGCCCACCUAGUCUUCGAUGGAUAGGGGUUCUGAGAGGAAGGUCCCCCACAUUGGAACUGAGACACGGUCCAA